CUCUCUCGUCUCCCUGCCAAUCUGCCUGCACUGUGGACGUGCUCUGUGGAAAAUGUUUACAGUUUGGAGGACUCUAACCUUGACUUCCCGGCUUUGAGCUCCCUCUGGAAGCGGGAAAGUGACUGGAUGGGGUUGGGCAACCUGGAUGCAUCCUUCAAAGCAUUCCAGAGGAGUAAACAAGAGCAAGAGAGAUCGUGAUUCACAGAUCGUUUACACAGACCCCGACACCGACACGUCUUUGGACUGAAAAACAGGAGCAGUCUGCAGCCUCCAGCCUCACCCAGCUCUGUUCUCAAUACCACUG